rnacentral:rRNA from 1 species
UACGGAGGGGGCAAGCGUUAUUCGGAAUUAUUGGGCGUAAAGGGCGCGUAGGCGGCUAGAUGUGUCAAAGGUGAAAUCCCUCGGCUCAACUGAGGAACUGCCUUUGAAACUGUCUGGCUUGAGGCCGGGAGAGGGUAGCGGAAUUCCCAGUGUAGCGGUGAAAUGCGUAGAUAUCUGGAGGAACACCGGUGGCGAAGGCGGCAUCCUGGACCGGUAUUGACGCUGAGGCGCGAAAGCCAGGGGAGCAAACGGG